rnacentral:misc_RNA from 1 species
GGAGUAUGAAAUUUAUAAGGCUGCUAACACUAUUCGGGGCUAUGAGAAGAUUGGUUUAUUGAGUUCUGAGAAGAGAAUUCCAGAAGCUAUUCUACAAAAUGCAAGAGGCCUUGCCAUUCUUACGGUCGUGAAAGUUGGAGUGAUGGUAACCUACAACAUCGGAACUGGAUUGGUAAUUGCACGUAGAGAAGAUGGUUCAUGGUCUCCCCCGUCGGCCAUUUCUUCUUUCGGUGUAGGAUGGGGUGCUCAGGUUGGUGGAGAACUUACUGACUUCAUUAUUGUCCUGAGAACUAGUGAUGCUGUCAAGACUUUUGGUGGUGAUGCACAUCUUUCAGUUGGAGCUGGUGUGAGUGCUGCUGCGGGGAUCAUUGGACGAACUGCUGAAGCUGAUCUUCGUGCCGGUACUGCUGGUUAUGCCGCUUGUUAUACAUACAGCUGCAGU